UACGGGGGGGGCAAGCGUUGUUCGGAAUUACUGGGCGUAAAGGGCUUGUAGGUGGCCAACUAAGUCAGACGUGAAAUCCCUCGGCUUAACCGGGGAACUGCGUCUGAUACUGGAUGGCUUGAGUUUGGGAGAGGGAUGCGGAAUUCCAGGUGUAGCGGUGAAAUGCGUAGAUAUCUGGAGGAACACCGGUGGCGAAGGCGGCAUCCUGGACCAAGACUGACACUGAAAAGCGAAAGCCAGGGGAGACAAACGGG
rnacentral:rRNA from 1 species